CUCCCUGUCUGCAGCAGGCACUAUAUUUGAUCAUCAGGCAUAGCGAAAAUAUUUUUCGCUGUCAUUUUGUUAAUCCGAGUGAGUUUGUCUCUUAAAAAAAAAAGAAACGAUGCAGUGUUCGGACCGCCUCCCGUGGCUUUUUCCAAAACAGGACAGUGAGCCGUGCUCUCGCUCACUCUCUUUCUCUCUCUUGCUUGUAACUUUCUGUCUCUGCCAUUUUGAUGAGGUUGAAAAAAAGUGUAUCUCUUUUUCUCUCUCACUACGUGGCGUGGAUUGGACACCGACUGGAAGGAAGGAGGGAGGAGUAGGAGCGAGAGAGAGCACGGUGCUCGCGUAGAUGGAGAGAUGGCAUAUUUGGAGAAAGAGAAAUGUGAUUUUUUGUGGGCAACGGAAUUGGCCUAGUCUGCACCCUAAGCCUGACUCCAUAUUGCCGCCAGGUGUAGGCUGACUCCGGUAUGGACAUCGAACCGGUCAACACCAUAGACAGAAGUCCUCCACCGUACCCUCCCUUCUGCUCCAAUCUUCAGUUCAGCUGGAGUGAGAGAGGGAAAGAAAGAAAAAGAAAGAAAGAGUGAGCAGAAUAAUAGUGAGCGACAAGGGGAAUUUCGGCACUUUUCAACUUUUUCUUCCACUGAAACAGAGAAAAGAUUACAGGCGGUAGUGGGCCUCUUGCGCUAACUGGUGUCAGCUGUUGCAGGAAAUGAAGGGAUCACGUCUAUCCCAAUCUCUCUCUCUCUCUCUGAGUUUUCAUGUGAUUCGUAUCCUGUUAAACACGGCAGAGAGAAUGAGCUGCUCAGACAGAGAGAUGAAUGGGACUCAGAUGAUGAGGGCUUGUGGAGGACCACAGCACCCGAGGCACGGUCAGUCGCUGUCGCCAGCUCGGAAGUCCUCAUAGGUGGACAUGUCCGGUGACUUCGGGUUCAUUUAUGCAUGCAUGUGUGCUUUAUCCACCAAUUUGAGAGCAGCACAAAGUACUAUUGAGAGCGUUACAUCGAUAGCUCGGUACAAUUGUGUUUGACCUCAUACAAACCUUCAUCGACAUUAAAAAUAAACGCAUGUUUUUGCGACCAUAGGCUAUAUUUUUCCUGAGUGUGUGUCUGGGGUCUGACAUGGUGAUUUGUUGAUAUAAAUAUAACGAACGAUUGCUUACAGCAACGUAUGUUUCAUUAGUGUGAUGCCCGCAGGAUGUAAAUGGCAUAAAAUAGACAGAUACCUUGAGUGUUGCUGCAGCAGAAGUGCAUUGUGUGUGUGUACGCAGCAGCAUGUGUGUUCCUACAGACAUCGUGAGUGAGAUAGCCAGCCGUCUCUGUGGUAGUGCUCCAAAUCUCGCUUAUCUCCCUCACUCUACAGUGCUGCUUGAUGUUCUCAGAGUCAAACAGAGGCUACGCCGUUUCCAACGGGAGCUAGAGUAAAUCCUAGUCUCAAACAAUCCUGCAGAGUAGAUUUUUAUCUGGAAGACUGACUCUGGUGGAGAUUAUGAUGUCCGUUUAUUUUGAAUCCACCUUAUAUUUGUGUAUGUUAACCAUGAAAUGAAGAAAAGCAACAUGAAGCUAUGGUUUCGGGCUUUAUGCUGUCUCUUACUCCGAUAGUAUUUGUCAGUCAGUGUAGAGCGAUGCAUAAUGAUGUGUUUGUUUUUUUUAAAGAUUGGUUGCCAAAUUAAGCUGCUAAAAAGGUCAUUUAAAGGGAGUUGCAAUCAGCAAAAUGAACAACCCAUUCCUUGACAUCAUUAAGUGGCUCAUUAAACUCAAUUUGAACUCUAACUGGAAUACUUUGCUUGUAUUGUUGCACCCCAAUUAAAGCUCCUCUCUGGUGCUUGAAAUACAGCUAAAGAGAAUAC
ensembl:lncRNA